rnacentral:misc_RNA from 1 species
GAUGAAGAACGUAGCGAAAUGCGAUACGUAAUGUGAAUUGCAGAAUUCAGUGAAUCAUCGAAUCUUUGAACGCACAUUGCGCCCUGUGGUAUUCCGCAGGGCAUGCCUGUUCGAGCGUCAUUUCAACCCUCAAGCCCCGCUUGGUGUUGGGCCCCGCCCGCCGUGGCCGGCCCUAAAGACAGUGGCGGCGCCGCCUGGCCCUCAGCGUAGUACAGCUCUCGCUCCAGGGUCCGGCGGCCGCCUGCCAGAACCCCCCCAACUCUGUGGUUGACCUCGGAUCAGGUAGGGAUACCCGCUGAACUUAAGCAUAUCAAUAAGCGGAGGA